GCAGGCUCUCUCUGCCUGUCCCUCUGGAGGGCAGGCACCACACCCAGCCCAAGCUUUUAAUCUGUUUUAUGUCUAUCUUUCAUUUAUUUCUUCAAUCCCGAUAGCGCCUCCUAGAUUGUAGGAACUGGUUCAAGUCUCCUUCUCCGUGCGGGCGUGGGAAGAAGACAGCCCCAGAUGGCAUGAUUGUCUCUAUGGAAAACACCCAGGGGUCUGCCAGAACUGAUAGCGAGCGAAUUUGGUAAGACUGCAGGAUAUAAGGCCAACAUACAAAACUCAGCUGUCUUACUCUAUGCUGGCAAUGAACAAUAGGAAAUAAAAAAAAUUAAAAAGAGUACAAUAACAAUAAUAUUCCCCCCGCCAGCCAAAAAAAAAAAAACAAACAUGAAAAACUUUGGUAUAUAUCCAACACCUGUGCAAGAUCUGAAUGCUGAAAACUAUAAAACGAG